rnacentral:rRNA from 1 species
AAACAACCGGGAUUGCUCAGUAACGGCGAGUGAAGCGGCAAAAGCUCAAAUUUGAAAUCUGGCGCCUUCGGUGCCCGAGUUGUAAUUUGUAGAAGGCGACUUUUGGGGCCGGUUCUUGUCUAUGUUCCUUGGAACAGGACGUCAUGGAGGGUGAGAAUCCCGUAUGGCGAGGACUUGAGCUCCUUGUAAAGCGCUUUCGAAGAGUCGAGUUGUUUGGGAAUGCAGCUCUAAGUGGGUGGUAAAUUCCAUCUAAAGCUAAAUACAGGCGAGAGACCGAUAGCGAACAAGUACAGUGAUGGAAAGAUGAAAAGAACUUUGAAAAGAGAGUGAAAAAGUACGUGAAAUUGUUGAAAGGGAAGGGCAUUUGAUCAGACAUGGCGUUUUGCGCCCUUUGCUCCUUGUGGGCGGAGGAAUCUCGCAGCUCGCUGGGCCAGCAUCGGUUUUUGCGGCAGCAGAAAACCUAGGGAACGUAGCUUGUGUCUUUGACUCAAGAACUUAUAGCCCUUGGGGGAAUACUGCCCGCCGGGGACCGGAGGACUGCGGGUGCUUGUCACCAAGGGAUGCUGGCCU